rnacentral:lncRNA from 13 species
GAUAGGGGUGAGUUGAAGGGGAGAGGGGGUGAGGUGAAGGUGAGAUGAAGGGGAGAGGAGGUGAGGUGAAGGGGAGGUGAGGUGAAGGGGAGAGGAGGUGAAGGGGAGAGGAGGUGAAGGGGAGAGGGGGUGGGGUGAAGUGGAGAGGAGGUGAGGUGAGGUGAAGGGGAGAGUUGAGACAGUUUAAAUGAGAGAGGGAGGAAGCAGAAAGCUAACAUCAUGGCCUCUGUGUGCGUGACAGAGGGGAAGGCAUAGCUGCAGUUGAGAUCAGGUGAAACUGAGAGCAGAGAAGGUGACAGGUUCUAGGUCAUACCUCUGAGAGAAGGAAGGAAAGAGGGAGAGAGGGGGAGGAUGGAGAGAACUGAAGGCUAGAAGAAGACUGAGUGUUGGGGCACAGAAAUAGGCGGCAGGACUUCUUUCCAUCUACUACCUGAGAUAGAGUGCGGAGCGAGGGAAGAGGUAGAAGAAGGAGAGAAGAGAGUAAAAGAGACAGUGAGAAAGAGGAAGAUCUGAAGGUGAAAAGAUCAGCAUUGAGGUCAUGAAGACAGACAUGUACAGCCUUGAAGGUAGAGCUGGAGAGGAGGAGGAGGACGAAGGAAAGUAUCAGAGGAAGCAGACAAGCCUGAGAAAAGGUGACCGGAACGAGAGGUUGAGAGGAGGAAGGAGGGAGAUGAAAGAAGAGGGCUGCUAUGGAGGAGAGAGACAGAGAGAGACAUGGUACUGCCAGGAGGUUUUCAUCCAGAGAAGCCUAUGGAAGAGAAAGUCCCGACCUGGAAGAGAUCGAGUCUGCACAGGAAGUGCUUGCCAGGGCAGCAGCCACGGGCCUAUUGGACGGGAUCGAUUCCAACAAUCCAACUAGGAAGGAGAGGCGUGGCCGACAGACCCACCAGGCACCAAUCAGUCACGCCCGCUCAGCUCAUACACGCCCACACGCCACCGCCAGCAGCCAAUCCAGAGUCAUGGAGUUCCUUAACCGUGAGACCAAGGGUUGUAGCUCCGCCACUACGGUGGGGUCGACCAAUGGAGGUCUGUCGCAACGAGGUAAAGCCAAGCCUGCUCGCCGACGCCCUCCCAAGCCCUCCCUCUCCAACAGUACCUCCUACACCUCACCUUACCCCGCCCCUAACCCCGCCUCCAGCCUCUCCAGGAAGAAUCAGACCUGCCUCAUCAACACUGCAGCCUCAUACAACAACCGCCACUCGCCUACCGCCACAGACCCCAACCCCCCUGCUGCCCCUCUCACCACAGCCCCCUUCACCCCCCUGGUCCACCCUGGCCCCCCUAAGGGACGUCAGGAGGUGCUGCGCCCCGUGGCCCUCACCCUGCCCCCGGUCCUGUUCCCUGGGUACUCCCCCCCGGCCAGACAGA